GAUCCUGGCUCGGGACGAACGCUGGCGGCGUGCCUAACACAUGCAAGUCGAGCGGAGACAGUGAGUAGCUUGCUAUGAGCUGUUUUAGCGGCGGACGGGUGAGUAACGCGUGAGCAACCUUUCCCAGACAGGGGGAAUAACACACCGAAAGGUGUACUAAUACCACAUAAGACCACGGGAUCACAUGGUUCUGAGGUAAAAGAUUUAUCGGUUUGGGGUGGGCUCGCGUCCGAUUAGGUAGUUGGUGAGGUAACGG
rnacentral:rRNA from 1 species